CUGGUGCCAGCAGCGCGGUAAUCCAGCUCCAAUAGCGUAUAUUAAAGUUGUUGCAGUUAAAAGCUCGUAGUUGAAUUUCGGGGUCAGUAGGUCGGUCGUGCCACUGGUAUGCACUGGUCUCACUGAUUCCUCCUUCUUGUAGAACCGUAAUGCCAUUAAGUUGGUGUUGCGGGAAACAGGACUGUUACUUUGAAAAAAUUAGAGUGUUUAAAGCAAGCUAACGCUUGAAUACAUUAGCAUGGAAUAAUGAAAUAGGACGAACGAUCCUAUUUUGUUGGUUUCUAGGAUUGACGUAAUGAUUAAUAGGGAUAGUUGGGGGCAUUAGUAUUCAAUUGUCAGAGGUGAAAUUCUUGGAUUUAUUGAAGACUAACUACUGCGAAAGCAUUUGCCAAGGAUGUUUUCAUUAAUCAAGAACGAAAGUUAGGGGGAUCGAAGACGAUCAGAUACCGUCGUAGUCUUAACCAUAAACUAUGCCGACUAGGGAUCGGAUGAUGUUAAUUUUAUAAUGACUCAUUCGGCGCCUUACG
rnacentral:rRNA from 1 species